rnacentral:lncRNA from 1 species
AAGAUUUUUUUUUUUGGCCUCUUGGAUCUCUAAAGAGCAUGAGGUCUGUCUCAUAGGCAAGGAUCUGCUGGCAGUUGGCUACUGAUAGUUUGGGCUGCUAUAGAAAACUGAAGGAGAGAGUGGUAGCUGUCUAUUAUUUUAGGGAGUUAGGGAGUUAGUGAAUCAUUUAUAGAUAGUGUAGGUUAGAUAGGCCUGUGUUUGCCAGGCAAGAAGAAGCUAUCCUCAGACGACAGAGAUCUUUUACAAGAGGCUCUGCAGCAUUCCAGAAAUUUAAAUAGCUAGUACAACAUAUGCAUAAACAGGAGCAUCUGGAAUACCAUAUCAUAUACAAAGAAUAAAACGAUCAUACUUCAUCUUGAACACUACAUUGAAUCUCUUCUAAAUUUGCCAUUGCUGAAUUAUUUAUCACCUUGUGACCAUCUUAUUGGUGAAGAGGUUCUUGAAUCAAAUAUCCAUACGUAAUACCUUAUAUGUCAAAUGGAAUGCUGACCAUUUUUUACAAUAAUUCUUAAAGGGAAGAAAAUAACACCACUGAAUAAUCUAUAGAGAUUGCAUGUUGCCGUGGAUAAAGGACUGAAUUUGGAGAUAGAAGACCUGGAUUCCACUCCUGACAGAUAUUUAAUACUCAUGUAACUUAUAAAAUGCUUCUCUCUUUGGGACUUUGUUUUCUUUCGUGUGUGUG